rnacentral:rRNA from 1 species
UACGUAUGGUGCAAGCGUUAUCCGGAUUUACUGGGCGUAAAGGGAGCGCAGGCGGCGCGCCAAGUCUGAUGUGAAACCCCGGGGCUCAACCCCGGGCAUGCAUUGGAAACUGGCGGGCUGGAGUGCCGGAGAGGUAAGCGGAAUUCCUAGUGUAGCGGUGAAAUGCGUAGAUAUUAGGAGGAACACCGGUGGCGAAGGCGGCCUGCUGGACUGCAACUGACGUUGAGGCCCGAAAGCGUGGGGAGCAAACAGG